rnacentral:rRNA from 1 species
AUGUCGUGUUCGGAGCUGCGCCUGCGCCCCGCCACCCCCUUCUCCGGCGACCUUCCUGCGGACUCGCUGUACGAGGUCCUCCUCCGCCUCCCGGCCAAGGAGCUCUGCCGCCUCCGCGCCGUCUGCCCCGCCUGGCGCGCCCUCACCUCCGACCCGCUCUUCAUCGCGGCGCACAAGUCCCGCCACCGCACGGCGCCCCCGCUCCUCGCCAUGGCCUACCGCGACGACAGUGGGGUCAACGGCGUUGAGAUUUCGGAUUUGUCCGGCAAUGUGGUGAAGCGGAUACCAAGCGCCGGGUAUGAAAUUGUUCUGGUGGACGGGUUGUCAGGGGUUGCCAGUGGGCGGAUGUCAAGCAAGCACGAUACCAUCCGUGUUGCGCGCACGCGGCUUGACCUUGUUUGUUUCAACUGGAGCUUCUGCUCUGGGGACUUCUGGGUGCUGAACCCGGCCACCGGAGAUACCAUCACCUUGCCGAGGGGCUUCUCGGAGGAAUUGGCACAUGAGCUAGAAGCAAAGGGGAUAAAGGAAUGGUGCUGCGGAGUCAAGUCCUAUGCUUUUGGGCAGGUCUCCUCUACCAGAGAGUACAAGGCGCUCCGCGUCUCUGAAAUUGGUGACCGAAAGGUAUGUGAGGUUAUCACCUUUGAUGCCACCAAACAUGGAAGCUGGAGGAGAAAGCAGGACCCUCCGCCAUCCCUUAUCUCUCCCUGUCACAAGAUAUUGAGGAGAUGUGUGGUCGUUGAUGGGGUGGUGUACUUCUUGAUGGACUUUUCCUCCACAUACUUUGAAACUGGGGUUAUGACCAUUGAGCCUGGUAGCGUAGCUUCGUUCAACCUCGAGACAGAAGAGUGGCGUGUUCUACGUGGCCCAGAACAGGUGCAGAGGUUUGUGCAAGAGAACGAGGAUUCCGAUUACUUGAUACUUGAACUCGAGUUAUCAUUGGCUGAGUUGAACGGCUGCUUAGUUAUGGUUCAUAGUAUUCAUAAAGCAUCUAUGGACUUGUGGUUUUUGACAGAUUUUGAGAAAGAUACCUGGGUUAAGAAAUACAGCAUGCCUUCAUCACAUGUUGCUAGGUUUGGGUAUCCUUUUCUGAUGUUAGAUGAUGGGAGAAUUUUCUUUACUCGGUCGGAUUAUCUACAAUGUUUAGCUGGUGCUGAGGGAUUUCUGCAAGGUUAUAAUCCAAGAAAUGGCACUUAUGCUGAUGCUCUAAAACUGAGAGAUUCCGAAUCCAUUGGCAUUUACACGGGAAGCCUGCUGAGUUUAUAG